rnacentral:sRNA from 1 species
AUGAUGCCCAUAUCUUUUGCAGGAAGUCCCAAGUGAAAGAUGAAGUAAAGGGUGUCUUACAUUUCAUCCAGUAUACUUAUAAUAUUUUUGGCUUUGGCUUCUCUUUCGACCUGAAGCUAUCAACAGUAAGAUUCUUAUUACCUGUGCUUAAAGCUUCAGACCUCUUGCCUUCAUCUUAACUUGCAAAAGUCAUAUGAUGGUUUUAUAAUAUAUUAGAUGAUACAUAAUACUGUUAUGAUUAUUUGGUAUAUUCUAAUAUAGCAGUAAGUAUACCGUGCUGAAUUUCUAAUAAAACAAAGCUAAUCUUAAUCUUAUUUGGUGUAUAGAUAGCAGGGAUAACUAAGUAUUGUCAUUGGGGAGACUAAUGGUGCACUAUCUUUCGAUGGGUUUGUUUUUUUAUACUAAUUGCCUGCUUAUCAUCGUGGACAUAGGCGUUUAAUCUUAGGACUUUCCGCAUAUCGUAGCCGACAUUAUUUUUCCAUUCUAACAUUAACUAACGUUACCACCAUGUAUCUAUUAUGAAAAGAUCAAAUCAACAUGCUAAGUGGAUCAGCCAUUUCCAUUGAAUAAUAUUUAAAUACUUGCAACGUUUGUUUUAUAUUGGGUUUGGUUUCAGCAGACGGUGGUUUUUCUUAUUUUGAGGCUUUUGUUUCCAGGCUGCCCUGUGUACUCAAGAAUUAAAAAAUGGUUAUAAUUGGAAUAUUACGCUUAAUCUUCUUUU